AGGACGACGCUGGCGGCGUGCUUAACACAUGCAAGUCGAAACGAGAAUCUACUGAAGGAGGAUUCGUCCAACGGAAGUAGAGGAAAGUGGCGGACGGGUGAGUAACGCGUGAGGAACCUGCCUUGAAGAGGGGGACAACAGUUGGAAACGACUGCUAAUACCGCAUGAAGCAUAGGGGUCGCAUGAUCUUUAUGCCAAAGAUUUAUCGCUUCAAGAUGGCCUCGCGUCUGAUUAGCUGGUUGGCGGGGUAACGGCCCACCAAGGCGACGAUCAGUAGCCGGACUGAGAGGUUGAACGGCCACAUUGGGACUGAGAUACGGCCCAGACUCCUACGGGAGGCAGCAGUGGGGAAUAUUGGGCAAUGGGCGCAAGCCUGACCCAGCAACGCCGCGUGAAGGAAGAAGGCUUUCGGGUUGUAAACUUCUUUUAAGAGGGAAGAGCAGAAGACGGUACCUCUAGAAUAAGCCACGGCUAACUACGUG
rnacentral:rRNA from 1 species